CCUCCUUUUCUGUCUGUAUAUCUAGCUCUGACCUCAACGACUACGCCCAGAAGUGGGCGGACCACCUGGUGAAGACGGGCAGCUUCCAGCACAGUGACGUCACGCUGAAGGGCACCAGGCUGGGAGAGAACAUCGCCAACAAGUGGUCGAGCUCGGGGGCCGACUACACAGGUGAGGAGGCGACCGAGCAGUGGUACAGUGAGAUCAGACAACACAACUUCAACUCGGAGAGCAACUCUGGCACAGGUACCACUGCA